CCCUUUCCAUCCUGAACAACGUGAUACUUAUUCUUGUCAUGGCUGUGAUCAAAUAGCUUUAAACAACUUACUUAUGAGAGGAGAGCUGCUUUAACUUCAGAUGUACAAGGGCCUAAGUCAACAUGUGGAGAAGUUUGUGGAGUGGACAUCAGGAGUGCGAUGCAGUUGGUUACAUGGCAUUUUCAUCUCCUGUUCUUCCAGUCACCUAAGAUUUUUCUGAACCAUGUGAUCACCAAAAAGUCAUCAACUCAAGUUGAGUGAGAACCUUCAGUUGUGUCUAAUGUGACUCAGCAUAGUGGAGAGUUGUCCAGGGAUGGCUGCAGGAAAAACAGUAUGGCUAAGGAUGAAGACAAAAGCCCCAUUCCCUCCUUUGUGAUUGGGAAACACUUGCCUGGUAUAAGGCACAAACUCCUAAGGUGUGGAGACCCAUGGCGAUGGAUUGUAUCGGGGAUAGCUGACUGAUGCUGUAUGAGCUGGGAGUGGAGUCCCUUCUGACCUCACAAACCAGGCUUCAGGAAUUGGGAUGGGAUGUGUGCUGGUACAGGGUUCAGAAUGUCCCACAUCCUCUGAUCUCAGGAGCUGUGUUAUGUCUAUUACAAUGGUUGUGUGUGCCUGUCACUAUUUGUUAUCAUAUAUUCUGACCACACUGUGCAAUGGGUACAUUCA